AUAAUCAGACCCGAUACAUCAUUAUCCCCAAAUAAAUUCCCAAAAUUUUGAAUAUCGAAAUUCUGAGUUCUGGAACCGCCUUUUUUCUCGUUGCCGCGACUGCCAUAGACGUAAGGAUGAUCGGUUUAUUUGUGUGCUGUUUUCUCAUUUAGUCCGGUUAUCUUCAGACGUUUGCUCGUUGCUUAUCAUUGUGCAUUUCAUUUCUGCCUGGUGACUUUGAUUGGAGAUGCCAACUGUAUAUUCUGCUGUUUCUGAAGAACAAAAGAUAGUGAUUAAAUUGAAUCAGAAUCAUUUUGGACUGGUGAUGGAAACAAAUCAAAGUUGUUCAUGAAGUUCUACAGAGUGCCUACUACCAAAAAAGCAGGUCCCCGGAGUAAUUGGCUUUGAUGCUUCCCUAUUGAUGCCCGAUUGUAUUGGAGCAAAAAGAAAAAGAGUUCUUUGGAAGCAAGGCCGAUAAUUCCAUGGCCGGUUUCUAUCAGUAGUUUGGAAACAUGUGUUUACUUAUAAUGAUUCUAUGACUCCAUUAGUGAUUUUAUGACUACAAAGGCAAUGCCAAUGGUGAUUUU